AUUGAACGCUGGCGGAAUGCUUUACACAUGCAAGUCGAACGGCAGCACGGGGGCAGCCCUGGUGGCGAGUGGCGAACGGGUGAGUAAUACAUCGGAACGUGCCCGGUCGUGGGGGAUAACGUAGCGAAAGUUACGCUAAUACCGCAUACGAUCUGAGGAUGAAAGCGGGGGACCUUCGGGCCUCGCGCGAUCGGAGCGGCCGAUGUCAGAUUAGGUAGUUGGUGGGGUAAAGGCCUACCAAGCCGACGAUCUGUAGCUGGUCUGAGAGGACGACCAGCCACACUGGGACUGAGACACGGCCCAGACUCCUAUGGGAGGCAGCAGUGGGGAAUUUUGGACAAUGGGCGCAAGCCUGAUCCAGCCAUUCCGCGUGCAGGACGAAGGCCUUCGGGUUGUAAACUGCUUUUGUACGGAACGAAAAGGCUCUGGCUAAUACCUGGGGCUCAUGACGGUACCGUAAGAAUAAGCACCGGCUAACUACGUG
rnacentral:rRNA from 1 species